rnacentral:rRNA from 1 species
UACGUAGGGGCGAGCGUUGUCCGGAAUUACUGGGCGUAAAGGGCGCGUAGGCGGCCCGUUAAGUCCGCUGUGAAAGACCGAGGCUCAACCUCGGGGUGUCAGCGGAGACUGUCGGGCUGGAGUCUCGGAGAGGGAUGCGGAAUUCCUGGUGUAGCGGUGGAAUGCGUAGAGAUCAGGAGGAACACCGAUGGCGAAGGCAGCAUCCUGGCCGAGUACUGACGCUGAGGCGCGAAAGCGUGGGGAGCGAACGGG